rnacentral:rRNA from 1 species
UACAGAGGUCCCGAGCGUUGUUCGGAUUCACUGGGCGUAAAGGGUGCGUAGGCGGCGGGGUAAGUUUGAUGUGAAAGCUCCGAGCUUAACUCGGAAAUUGCAUUGAAUACUAUUUCGCUAGAGGGUUGUAGGGGGGACUGGAAUUCUCGGUGUAGCAGUGAAAUGCGUAGAUAUCGAGAGGAACACCAGUGGCGAAGGCGAGUCCCUGGACAACUCCUGACACUGAGGCACGAAAGCUAGGGGAGCAAACAGG